GACGAACGCUGGCGGCAUGCCUAAUACAUGCAAGUCGAGCGGACAGAAGGGAGCUUGCUCCUGGAAGUCAGCGGCGGACGGGUGAGUAACACGUGGGCAACCUGCCCUUUAGAUUGGAAUAACUUCGGGAAACUGAAGCUAAUACCGAAUAAUACAAGGAACCUCCUGGUUCUCUGUUUAAAGAUGGCCUUUGUGCUAUCACUAACGUAUGGGCACGCGGCGCAUUAGCUAGUUGGUAAGGUAACGGCUUACCAAGGCGACGAUGCGUAGCCGACCUGAGAGGGUGAUCGGCCACACUGGGACUGAGCCACGGCCCAGACUCCUACGGGAAGCAGCAGUAGGGAAUCUUCCGCAAUGGACGAAAGUCUGACGGAGCACUGCCGCGUGAGUGAGGAAGGCCUUCGGGUCGUAAAGCUCUGUUGUGAGGGAAGAACAAGUACCGGCGUAACUACCGGUACCGUGACGGUACCUCACCAGAAAGCCACGGCUAACUACGUGCCAGCCGCCGCAGUAA
rnacentral:rRNA from 1 species